rnacentral:rRNA from 1 species
GAUGAACGCUGGCGGCGUGCCUAAUACAUGCAAGUCGAGCGAACGGACGAGAAGCUUGCUUCUCUGAUGUUAGCGGCGGACGGGUGAGUAACACGUGGAUAACCUACCUAUAAGACUGGGAUAACUUCGGGAAACCGGAGCUAAUACCGGAUAAUAUUUUGAACCGCAUGGUUCAAAAGUGAAAGACGGUCUUGCUGUCACUUAUAGAUGGAUCCGCGCUGCAUUAGCUAGUUGGUAAGGUAACGGCUUACCAAGGCAACGAUGCAUAGCCGACCUGAGAGGGUGAUCGGCCACACUGGAACUGAGACACGGUCCAGACUCCUACGGGAGGCAGCAGUAGGGAAUCUUCCGCAAUGGGCGAAAGCCUGACGGAGCAACGCCGCGUGAGUGAUGAAGGUCUUCGGAUCGUAAAACUCUGUUAUUAGGGAAGAACAUAUGUGUAAGUAACUGUGCACAUCUUGACGGUACCUAAUCAGAAAGCCACGGCUAACAACGUGCCAGCAGCCGCGGUAAUACGUAGGUGGCAAGCGUUAUCCGGAAUUAUUGGGCGUAAAGCGCGCGUAGGCGGUUUUUUAAGUCUGAUGUGAAAGCCCACGGCUCAACCGUGGAGGGUCAUUGGAAACUGGAAAACUUGAGUGCAGAAGAGGAAAGUGGAAUUCCAUGUGUAGCGGUGAAAUGCGCAGAGAUAUGGAGGAACACCAGUGGCGAAGGCGACUUUCUGGUCUGUAACUGACGCUGAUGUGCGAAAGCGUGGGGAUCAAACAGGAUUAGAUACCCUGGUAGUCCACGCCGUAAACGAUGAGUGCUAAGUGUUAGGGGGUUUCCGCCCCUUAGUGCUGCAGCUAACGCAUUAAGCACUCCGCCUGGGGAGUACGACCGCAAGGUUGAAACUCAAAGGAAUUGACGGGGACCCGCACAAGCGGUGGAGCAUGUGGUUUAAUUCGAAGCAACGCGAAGAACCUUACCAAAUCUUGACAUCCUUUGACAACUCUAGAGAUAGAGCCUUCCCCUUCGGGGGACAAAGUGACAGGUGGUGCAUGGUUGUCGUCAGCUCGUGUCGUGAGAUGUUGGGUUAAGUCCCGCAACGAGCGCAACCCUUAAGCUUAGUUGCCAUCAUUAAGUUGGGCACUCUAAGUUGACUGCCGGUGACAAACCGGAGGAAGGUGGGGAUGACGUCAAAUCAUCAUGCCCCUUAUGAUUUGGGCUACACACGUGCUACAAUGGACAAUACAAAGGGCAGCGAAACCGCGAGGUCAAGCAAAUCCCAUAAAGUUGUUCUCAGUUCGGAUUGUAGUCUGCAACUCGACUACAUGAAGCUGGAAUCGCUAGUAAUCGUAGAUCAGCAUGCUACGGUGAAUACGUUCCCGGGUCU